UUGAAUCAAUUAUUAGCUGUUGGUCGUUCUUCUUCUCUUCUCUUCCCGUUCGUUCCCGUGCUCGCCAAACUUUUCCUUCUUCAACCUCCCAAAUCUCUUCUUCUUUUUCUUCAUCUUCUUCUUUAUCUUCGAUCUCGCGCUAGCGUCCUUAAACGCUGCGUUUGGAGUUUUCGUUUUUAGAACACGCACGUGUUUUAUUCUCUUCGACUUCUGCUUCAUAGCUAUAAAAACACGCAAUCCGUAUUUUGUGAAAUUUCGAUCUGUGCGGUGGAGAUUCUUCGUGCUGAGGUUGAGUCUCGUCGGAGGGAGAGUACCGCAGGUUGCCGGGGGUGAUGGCGGGGGAGGUGGUGGUUGGUGGCGGUGGUGCAGGAGGAAGAGGCGGUGGAAUGUGGAGGGAGUGUCGAUGAAUUUGGGGGGAGGAGAAUGCUGUAUUUGAAGCAACCUAGGGUUUUUGAGAGCAUGGAGUUGUGUGUUUUGGAGCAUUGGUGGUUUUGUGGUUUCUCCUCGUGUUAGGUGGUGCUGAUCGUGCUGUGCGAGAACGUUGGGUGAUUUUAUUGGCUACACUUUGCAUGCGUUUUUGAUGGUUUCCCUCUGAGCCCGAGGCUCGGGGGAUCUGAAUAAUUGGGCGAAGGAGCAGCCAUGGCAUCUUCGGAGAAUGAACCUUCUUCUCACUCUUCACCUCCUCCUCCUCCCGCAAAUAUUUGUUUGCAAAAGUUCCGGCUCUAUGAGACGCUAUCGAACUUUUACAUGAUAGGAAGGGACAACAGCAGGACUUAUUGGAAAGUGUUAAAGAUUGACCGUCUAGAUCCAUCCGAGCUGAGUGUGCUUGAAGAUUCCACCACAUAUACAGAAAGUGAAUGUUCUGAUCUGUUGAGACGUAUACAUGAGGGGAAUAGGUCCACAGGUGGACUGAAAUUUGUUACAACUUGUUAUGGAAUUGUUGGGUUCAUAAAAUUUUUAGGGCCAUACUACAUGGUGGUCAUCACAAAAAGAAGGCAAAUUGGUGCCAUCUGUGGUCAUACAGUAUAUGCUGUCUCAAAGAGUGAGAUGAUUCCACUGCAAAAUCCUUCUGUUCAAUCUAACAUCGAUGAGAACAGAUACAAGAAACUCCUAUUAACGGUUGACCUUUCGAAGGAUUUCUACUUUAGCUACUCAUACUAUAUCAUGCGUAGUCUUCAAAGGAAUUUGUGUGAUAGUGAGACAGGCCACGUCCUUUAUGAGAACAUGUUUGUCUGGAAUGAGUUUUUGACUCGAGGAAUUAGGAAUCACCUCCAGAAUACUAUUUGGACAGUUGCACUGGUAUAUGGCUUUUUUAAACAGGAAACACUUGAAAUAUCUGGACGGGAGUUCAUUCUUACUCUCAUUGCAAGACGAUCUCGCCAUUAUGCUGGUACUAGGUAUUUGAGACGAGGAUUAAAUGACAAGGGUAGAGUAGCAAAUGAUGUGGAGACAGAGCAAAUUGUAUUUGAGGAUGUUCCUGAAGGUCUUCCAGUCCAAAUAUGCUCUGUUGUGCAGAAUCGGGGUUCAAUCCCCCUGUUCUGGUCACAGGAAACUUCACGUCUGAAUCUUAAGCCUGAUAUCAUAUUGUCAAAGAAAGAUCAGAAUUAUCAAGCCACCAAACUUCACUUUGAAAAUCUCAUCAAAAGAUACGGGAAUCCCAUAAUAAUUUUGAAUUUGAUAAAGUCACAUGAGAGGAAGCCUCGCGAGUCCAUUCUUCGUUCCGAGUUUGGUAAUGCCAUCAAUUUCAUUAACAAAGAUUUAUCAGAGGAGAACAGAUUGAGGUUUCUUCAUUGGGAUCUUAAACAUUUUCAGAGCAAAGCUACAAAUGUUUUGCUACUUCUGGGAAAAGUGGCUACAUAUGCUUUGACAUUAACAGAUUUUUUAUAUUGCCAAGUGUCACCAACUCCUAGACUCGAAGAAUGUAUAGAAAGGCCACCUAUUAAUUUUGCAUAUGACAAUAUUGAUAAGGGAAGCGUUCAACCCACGAGACAUGUUGAUGUUGACAACGAAGUUGGUAAUAAUUUAGAGAGAAAACCUAGUGGAGAAGACAACCAUGCUAACGGAAACCAUUUUGUUAAGCCACCCAUGUUCCAAAGGGGGGUUCUUCGAACUAAUUGUAUAGACUGCUUAGAUCGCACAAAUGUUGCACAAUAUGCAUAUGGGUUGGCUGCUCUUGGCCACCAGCUUCAUGCUCUGGGAAUUAUUGACCACCUGAAAAUUGACCUUGAUGAUCCUGUAAGUGAUGAUUUGAUGGGAUUUUAUGAGCGGAUGGGUGAUACUCUUGCACAUCAGUAUGGUGGUUCUGCUGCACACAACAAGAUAUUCUCUGAGAGGAGGGGACAAUGGAAAGCUGCAACACAAUCCCAGGAGUUCUUUAGGACUCUUCAACGAUAUUACAGCAAUGCUUACAUGGAUGCUGAGAAGCAAAAUGCAAUUAACAUUCUUUCUUUUUCUUGGCACAGAUUCCUGGGGCAUUUUCAGCCACAAGUGGGUAAGCCUGCUCUAUGGGAUUUGGGCCCAGAUCAACAUUAUGAUAUAGGGAGACAUGGGGAUGAUGAUGCAAGGUCAUUUGUCAAAAGGUGUUUCUCGGAUGGAAGCAUCAUUCAUGGCAGGUCCUUACCCACGUCAGCCUCAAAUUCAAAUAUUGAAAAAUUCUCAAAGCUAGGUUUGCAGAACCAAUCAGAAGAAGGAAACAAUGAUUUUUGUGACUCAUUGCCUGAAAUAUCAACAUUUGAGAGUGACAUGGCAUUUUCAAGGUACACUCCCUCAUUGCCUCGUCGACAGCUUUUUGUAGACGCACCAAGAGAGCGGUACCUUGAUGGUGAACAUAUUUCACAUUCUGCACAUGAGGCUUCAUUCAGCAGUUCCAACUUUGUUGACCUGGAUUGGCUGUCUUCUUCAGGAAAUUCAUGUGAAGAAGAGCCAUUUGAAAGGUUUUCAAUUGCCAAUUCUUCUAUUGCUAGGAAUUCUUCAGAAAAUGUUAUCAAUGGAGUUAUUAUAGGAGGAGAUACUCCCUCCAGCAGCGUUUUAGACUCAAACACUAAGGGAAGAGAGCGAACUGGGUCAGAGUUAUCCUACCGUGAUGCCCAGUCCAAAGUUCUAGAGGAAUAUCCUGAUACUUUUGUACAAUGGGUGAAUAAUGGACAGACACUUUGCAAUUGAACUUUCACACAAGGAUCUCUUGCAUUUAUAUAUAAUGUAAAUUUAUUGAAUUGACUUGGCUUGCUCAAAAGAUGGCUAGUGAAAGAGAUUUGAGUGAGCUAAACAUAUGCGAUACAGAAGCCAUCGUAAGGAAAAAGAAUAUAUACAGGCUUUCGAGCAGCUUCCUCUGUAAGAUGCUGCUCUCGAAAGAAAUCCUACUGGCUUUCUUGGUAUUGAUUUGCAGCAGCAUUAAUUCUGUCCUCACAAUCUCUCAAUCAAAUCUUGAGUGUUUGUAGGGUAUGACGCAUAAGUAUAAAUGAAAAGAUACAGUUUUAGGUGGGUAGUCCCGCGGAAAAGUAGCCGUUGGAGCGAUCAAAGAAGGAAGAAAGAAAGAAGAUGUUGAAAGUGUUCGGGCGGCAGAAGCAGUCGCGUGCGUUCAAGGAGUACUACUUGGAGUGGUUCAACACCCUAAAGAAAAACCUCCUUCCCCUCCUUCGCCGCUCCAUCGCAGGUGAGUCACCCACCAUCCUCUCCAGCCACGUGGAGAUGCUCCACCAGCACUUCCAAUCCUACUACCACGCCCUAGACGCCGCCGCUACCACAGACCCCACCCAACUCCUCUCCCAGGACUGGCGCAACUCCCUCGAAAAACCUCUCCUCUGGCUUGCCGACCUCCACCCCUUCCUCUUCACCAACCUCGUCCGCUCCUUUCUUCACCAACAAUAUCGCCCCGAGACUGACCAAAACAACCCCCGCCGCCACCUCCCCCUCCCCUUCCCUGACCGUCCAUGGCAGGUAGCUCUUGCAUGGAGCAACUCCUCUGACUCCCUUACCGCGUGCAUGGACCAGAUCGAGUGCCGCCUCCGCCACAUCGUAACCACCCUCUCAGACCGCCUCAAGUGCGCCGAGAGCGCCUUCAUGGAGUGCGUCGUGGGGAACUGGUUCCAGUGCUGGGAGGAGCAGAAUAUCGCCGCCGCCAAGGAGGCGGUGGGCACGGACGUUAAGGCGCAUAUGGAAGAGGUGGUGAGCGUGGUUCUUUAUGCGAACCGCGUGAGGCGGAGCGUUCUUGUGGACAUAAUGAGCGCGACCACUGUGUACCAGGCGGCGCUCUUUCUUGAAGGCCUGGCCCAAUUCCUCAUUGGCUUCAGAGAGCAGGACCUCCUCAACGCCGUUGAACAGUGCAAGGUCUUGCCUCACGCCAAACACUCUCGCACUUCCUCUCACUGAUCCAUACUCCACUCUAUCUAUUUCUUUCCCCUCUUUUUUCAUCGUCCCCAUUUAAGCUUCAUUCAAUAAAAUACUUAUAAUUCAUCUUCUUUACAAUUGCUUAAA